AAGAUGUCGGCUGAUCAGCUGGAAUCUCUGUAAGCAUCUGCCUCCGGUCUUUGACCACGGAUGUACUGGCAUAGAUCGUUGAGGCGAUGAAGGAAGAGGUCGGGUUAGCCCGGCCUUUUUUGUU
rnacentral:sRNA from 1 species